AAUUCCUCACGUAUGUUUGAAUUACAUGUGCCAUACAACUAACCCUUGACUCCCCUUUCUCAAUUAUUCUCUAUAUAAUAAUAAUUUUUCUUCUAUAGUUCCUAUAAUUCAAACAUUUAUGUUGUUUUCAACAUUUCUACUAUAGAGUUCAAAAGUUCUAUAUAGGUAGCCAACACCUUAAAGCAAAACACCAACUGAAAAAAAUACACCAAACUACUUUCUUCUCUUCUCUUUUCCAUUUGUUUGUGUUUGGUGUGAAGGGCACACACUAACCAUCCAAGAGAGAAACAGAAAGGUAGUUUUUUGUUCACUAGUAGAACAUCAUGCAUAUAGAAGCCCCAGAAAAUUAUGGCCCCGAAGACAAAAACUUCGACGAUGAUGGACGAGCCAAGAGAACCG
rnacentral:lncRNA from 1 species